GGAUAACCUACCCUUAGGACUGGGAUAACCCUGGGAAACUGGGGAUAAUACCGGAUAGGCAAUUUUUCCUGUAAUGGUUCUUUGUUUAAAUGUUUUUUCGCCUAAGGAUGGGUCUGCGGCCGAUUAGGUAGUUGGUUAGGUAAUGGCUUACCAAGCCGUUGAUCGGUACGGGUUGUGAGAGCAAGAGCCCGGAGAUGGAACCUGAGACAAGGUUCCAGGCCCUACGGGGCGCAGCAGGCGCGAAACCUCCACAAUGUGAGAAAUCGCGAUGGGGGGAUCCCAAGUGCCAUUCUUAACGGGAUGGCUUUUCAUUAGUGUAAAAAGCUUUUGGAAUAAGAGCUGGGCAAGACCGGUGCCAGCCGCCGCGGUAACACCGGCAGCUCUAGUGGUAGCAAUUUUUAUUGGGCCUAAAGCGUCCGUAGCCGGUUUAAUAAGUCUCUGGUGAAAUCCUGUAGCUUAACUGUGGGAAUUGCUGGAGAUACUAUUAGACUUGAGACCGGGAGAGGUUGGAGGUACUCCCAGGGUAGAGGUGAAAUUCUGUAAUCCUGGGAGGACCGCCUGUUGCGAAGGCGUCUAACUGGAACGGUUCUGACGGUGAGGGACGAAAGUUAGGGGCGCGAACCGGAUUAGAUACCCGGGUAGUCCUAACUGUAAACGAUGCGGACUUGGUGUUGGGGUGGCUUUGAGCUGUCCCAGUGCCGAAGGGAAGCUGUUAAGUCCGCCGCCUGGGAAGUACGGUCGCAAGACUGAAACUUAA
rnacentral:rRNA from 1 species